CCUACGGGAGACAGCAGUGGGGAAUAUUGCGCAAUGGGCGAAAGCCUGACGCAGCGACGCCGCGUGAGGGAUGAAGGUCUUCGGAUCAUAAACCUCUGUCAGCAGGGAAGAACGGUCACUGUGCUAAUCAGCAGUGAAUUGAUGGUACCUGCAAAGGAAGCACCGGCUAACUCCGUGCCAGCAGCCGCGGUAAUACGGGUGGUGCGAGCGUUAAUCGGAAUUACUGGGCGUAAAGCGCUCGUAGGCGGUAUGUCAAGUCAAGGGUGAAAGCCCCGCGCUCAACGUGGGAACUGCCUUUGAAACUGGAGAACUGGAGUGUGUGAGGGGAUAGUGGAAUGCCAGGUGUAGGAGUGAAAUCCGUAGAUAUCUGGAGGAACAUCAGUGGCGAAGGCGACUAUCUGGCACAUAACUGACGCUGAGGAGCGAAAGCGUGGGUAGCAAACAGGAUUAGAUACCCUUGUAGUC
rnacentral:rRNA from 1 species